GAUGAACGCUGGCGGCGUGCCUAAUACAUGCAAGUCGAGCGAACAGACGAGGAGCUUGCUCCUCUGACGUUAGCGGCGGACGGGUGAGUAACACGUGGAUAACCUACCUAUAAGACUGGGAUAACUUCGGGAAACCGGAGCUAAUACCGGAUAAUAUAUUGAACCGCAUGGUUCAAUAGUGAAAGACGGUUUUGCUGUCACUUAUAGAUGGAUCCGCGCCGCAUUAGCUAGUUGGUAAGGUAACGGCUUACCAAGGCAACGAUGCGUAGCCGACCUGAGAGGGUGAUCGGCCAGACGGGAUGUGAGACUCGUUCCAGACUCCUACGGGAGGCAGCAGUAGGGACUCUUCCGCAAUGGGCGAAAGCCUAACGGAGCAACGCCGCGUGAGUGAUGAAGGUCUUCGGAUCGUAAAACUAUGUUAUUAGGGAAGAACAAAUGUGUAAGUAACUAUGCACGUCUUGACGGUACCUAAUCAGAAAGCCACGGCUAACUACGUG
rnacentral:rRNA from 1 species